UACGUAGGGGGCUAGCGUUGUCCGGAAUCAUUGGGCGUAAAGCGCGUGUAGGCGGUCCGGUAAGUCCGCUGUGAAAGUCGGGGGCUCAACCCUCGGAUGCCGGUGGAUACUGUCGGGCUUGAGUACGGAAGAGGCGAGUGGAAUUCCUGGUGUAGCGGUGGAAUGCGUAGAGAUCGGGAAGAAUACCUGUGGCGAAGGCGGCCAGCUGGGCCAGGUCCGACGCUGAGGCGCGAAAGCGUGGGGAGCAAACAGG
rnacentral:rRNA from 1 species